rnacentral:rRNA from 1 species
AGAGUUUGAUCAUGGCUCAGACGAACGCUGGCGGCGUGGAUUAGGCAUGCAAGUCGAACGAUCCGCAAGGGAUAGUGGCGAAAGGGUGCGUAACACGUGGGCAAUCUGCCCCCGAAACGGGAAUAACUUCGGGAAACCGAAGCUAAUACCUGAUGACACCGAGCUGCCGCAUGGUGGCACGGUGAAAGGCGUCCGCAAGGGUGCCGAUCGGGGAUGAGCCCGCGGCCUAUCAGCUAGUUGGUGAGGUAACGGCCCACCAAGGCGAUGACGGGUAGCCGGCCUGAGAGGGUGGUCGGCCACAUUGGGACUGAGACACUGCCCAGACUCCUACGGGAGGCUGCAGUCGAGGAUCUUCCGCAAUGGGGGAAACCCUGACGGAGCGGCGCCGCGUGGAGAAUGAAGGCCUUCGGGUCGUAAACUCCUGUCAGUCUGGAAGAAAAUCUGCAGCAAUGUGGAUUGACCGUACAGGCAGAGGAAGCUCCGGCUAACUCCGUGCCAGCAGCCGCGGUAAUACGGAGGGAGCGAGCGUUGUUCGGAAUCAUUGGGCGUAAAGGGCAUGUAGGCGGCUCUGUAAGUCGGGUGUGAAAUCCCAUCUCUCAAGGGUGGAACGGCAUUCGAAACUGCAGGGCUUGAGUUCGGGGGAAGAGAGCGGAAUUCUCGGUGUAGCGGUGAUAUGCGUAGAUAUCGAGAAGAACACCAGCGGCGUAAGCGGCUCUCUAUCCUGAAACUGACGCUGAGGUGCGAAAGCCAGGGGAGCGAACGGGAUUAGAUACCCCGGUAGUCCUGGCCAUAAACGAUGUGCACUUGGUGUUGGGCCGCGAGGCUCAGUGCCGAAGCUAACGCAUUAAGUGCACCGCCUGGGGAGUACGACCGCAAGGUUGAAACUCAAAUGAAUUGACGG